rnacentral:rRNA from 1 species
AAUCAACGCUGGCGGCGUGCCUAACACAUGCAAGUCGAACGCGAAAGGGGGCUUCGGCUCCUAAGUAGAGUGGCGUCCGGGUGAGUAACACGUAGGUAAUCUGCCUUCGGUGGGGAAGUAACCAGUCGAAGAUUGGCUAAUACCGCAUAAUGCAGCGGCACCUAAUGGUGAUUAGUUGUUAAAGCGGGGAGUCGUAAGACCUCGCGCCUGAAGAGGAGCCUGCGGCAGAUUAGCUAGUUGGUGAGGUAAUGGCUCACCAAGGCUUCGAUCUGUAGCUGGUCUGAGAGGACGGCCAGCCACACUGGCACUGACACACGGGCCAGACUCCUACGGGAGGCAGCAGUGGGGAAUUUUGGGCAAUGGGCGAAAGCCU